AGAGUUUGAUCCUGGCUCAGAAUCAACGCUGGCGGCGUGCCUAACACAUGCAAGUCGAACGAGAAAGUGGAGCAAUCCAUGAGUACAGUGGCGACCGGGUGAGUAACACGUGACUACCUACCCUUGAGUGGGGGAUAACCCCGGGAAACCGGGGCUAAUACCGCAUAACAUCGAGAGAUCAAAGGAGCAAUCCGCUCUUGGAGGGGGUCGCGGCUGAUUAGCUAGUUGGUGAGGUAACGGCUCACCAAGGCGAAGAUCGGUAUCCGGCCUGAGAGGGCGCACGGACACACUGGAACUGAAACACGGUCCAGACUCCUACGGGAGGCAGCAGUGGGGAAUUUUGCGCAAUGGGGGAAACCCUGACGCAGCAACGCCGCGUGGAGGAUGAAGCCCUUUGGGGCGUAAACUCCUUUCGACCGGGACGAUACUGACGGUACCGGUGGAAGAAGCACCGGCUAACUCUGUGCCAGCAGCCGCGGUAAUACAGAGGGUGCGAGCGUUGUUCGGAAUUAUUGGGCGUAAAGGGCGCGUAGGCGGUGCGGUAAGUCACCUGUGAAACCUCUGGGCUUAACUCAGAGCCUGCAGGCGAAACUGCCGUGCUCGAGUGUGGGAGAGGUGCGUGGAAUUCCCGGUGUAGCGGUGAAAUGCGUAGAUAUCGG
rnacentral:rRNA from 1 species